UACGUAGGUGGCAAGCGUUGUCCGGAAUUAUUGGGCGUAAAGCGCGCGCAGGCGGUCCUUUAAGUCUGCUGUGAAAGCCCACGGCUCAACCGUGGAGGGUCAUUGGAAACUGGGGGACUUGAGUACAGAAGAGAAGAGUGGAAUUCCACGUGUAGCGGUGAAAUGCGUAGAGAUGUGGAGGAACACCAGUGGCGAAGGCGACUCUUUGGUCUGUAACUGACGCUGAGGAGCGAAAGUGUGGGGAGCGAACAGG
rnacentral:rRNA from 1 species